rnacentral:tRNA from 1 species
AGAAACUUAGGUUAAACAUAAACCAAGGGCCUUCAAAGCCCUAAACAGGGAAUACUAACCCUAGUCUCUG